rnacentral:rRNA from 1 species
AGAGUUUGAUUAUGGCUCAGGAUGAACGCUAGCGAUAGGCUAACACAUGCAAGUCGAGGGGCAGCACAUGAAGUAGCAAUACGGAUGGUGGCGACCGGCGCACGGGUGAGUAACGCGUAUGCAACCUGCCUACAACAGGGGAAUAGCCCGUUGAAAGACGGACUAAUACCCCAUAACACAGGGAUCCCGCAUGGGAAUAUUUGUUAAAGAUUUAUCGGUUGUAGAUGGGCAUGCGUUCCAUUAGCUUGUUGGUGAGGUAACGGCUCACCAAGGCAACGAUGGAUAGGGGAACUGAGAGGUUUAUCCCCCACACUGGUACUGAGACACGGACCAGACUCCUACGGGAGGCAGCAGUGAGGAAUAUUGGUCAAUGGACGCAAGUCUGAACCAGCCACGUCGCGUGAAGGAAGACGGCCCUACGGGUUGUAAACUUCUUUUGUAAGGGAAUAAAGUGCAGUACGUGUACUGUUUUGCAUGUACCUUACGAAUAAGGAUCGGCUAACUCCGUGCCAGCAGCCGCGGUAAUACGGAGGAUCCGAGCGUUAUCCGGAUUUAUUGGGUUUAAAGGGUGCGCAGGCGGGAGAUUAAGUCGGCGGUGAAAUUUUGCAGCUCAACUGUAAAAGUGCCUUCGAAACUGGUUUUCUUGAGUGUGGAUGAAGUAGGCGGAAUUUGUGGUGUAGCGGUGAAAUGCAUAGAUAUCACGAGGAACUCCGAUUGCGCAGGCAGCUUACUAAACCAUAACUGACGCUCAGGCACGAAGGCGUGGGGAUCAAACAGGAUUAGAUACCCUGGUAGUC